UCAUAGUGUUCAUCGCUCAGGCUCUCGCUGAUGAAGAUCAUUCUUCCUACUUCUUGACACACAGAGUUCGUUCAUUGUUCAUUUAUGUGGUAAGUCAUGUUCUUCGUUCAUCAUUAAAUCCCUAAAUUCAUAAAACCCGAAAACCCUAAUUCCUCUCUUCUUUUCUUUUUUUCAUUCACUCACGUGAAAGCAUUUAUGCAGGCUUGAGCUUUGUUGUCUAGAUCGGAGGCCAACACAUGUAGUUGGCCUUUCGGGGUAGGGUUUAUAAUGACCCAAUUUAAAAAACUUAAAAAAAAGACCCUCUUUUUCUAGGGUUCUCCAUCACAAAUCAGAACCAAACAACAUCCUACUCUACUUGACUGCUCUGCUUGAUUAUGUAUGUAUGCAGUAUGAAGGUGUAGCCAAUGAGGGUGGUAGAGGACCGAGUAUUUCGGAUACCUGCAUUCAUAAAUAUCCAGUAAUUAACAUGCAAAAAAGGUAGAAGACAGAAGCAAUGAGGAUGUUGUAGUUUACUCGUAUCACAGCUACAAGGACAAUGUUCAGAUUAUGAAGGAUAUGAAUUUGGAUGUUUAUAGAUUUUACAUGGUCAAGAAUUCUUACGAGUAAUUCAAAUAUAGAUCUAUGAUUAUUUUGGAGUAAGCUUUACUUGUUUGGAUGUUUCAUUACAAUCAUUACUUAUUUAUCUACUAUAAACUGCAUAUAUAUUCACAUAUGGAAAGCUAAGUGAAGGUAUAAACCAAGAAGGAAUUAACUCUUACAACAACCUUAUCAAUGAGGAAUUGGCA